rnacentral:sRNA from 1 species
ACACCAUAUAGAGCCUGAUCUCACUCCUUCCUUUCUGGUAGGCAGUAGGGCAGGUGAGUGCUUUGGGAGUUCCACUUUGGCAAAUUCCCUCUGGGGAUUAACCAUUAAUCCUCCUCCUGCAUCAGUCCGAAGGUCAGUGAUAGAAGCAAGGUUGUAAUCGCCAUGAUCUCAGACAGAGGCCAGGAUCUCAGUCAAUCCCAUAAGGGAGCUCAGAGGCUCAUGAAGUGUCCCAGGCUGGACUUGAACUCAUGCAGAAUUCUAGGAGCCUGCCUCAAGUCCAUGGAAAUGUCUCCAGUGGAAAUCUUCAGCCCUCUGUCUCCCUACCAGCCCUUCACUUGUAGGUCAGAAGGGACUUGAACUUACAAUCUUCCCGAUGCU